AAGACAUUAGUAAAACGUUUACUACACCACCUUGUCAAGAUGGAAAUGUAGGUUAAACUCCUGCAUGUCUUA
rnacentral:tRNA from 1 species